UACGUAGGGUGCGAGCGUUGUCCGGAUUUAUUGGGCGUAAAGAGCUCGUAGGCGGCUUGUCGCGUCGGAUGUGAAAGCCCGGGGCUUAACUCCGGGUCUGCAUUCGAUACGGGCAGGCUAGAGUGUGGUAGGGGAGAUCGGAAUUCCUGGUGUAGCGGUGAAAUGCGCAGAUAUCAGGAAGAACACCCGUGGCGAAGGCGGCUCUCUGGAACGCAACUGACGCUGAGACGCGAAAGCGUGGGGGAGCAAACAGG
rnacentral:rRNA from 1 species